UGGGGAAUAUUGCACAAUGGGGGAAACCCUGAUGCAGCGACGCCGCGUGAACGAAGAAGGUAUUCGUAUCGUAAAGUUCUGUCCUAUGGGAAGAUAAUGACAGUACCAUAGAAGAAAGCUCCGGCUAAAUACGUGCCAGCAGCCGCGGUAAUACGUAUGGAGCGAGCGUUGUCCGGAAUUAUUGGGCGUAAAGGGUACGCAGGCGGUUUAAUAAGUCGAAUGUUAAAGAUCAGGGCUCAACCCCGCAAAGCAUUGGAAACUGAUAAACUUGAGUAGUGGAGAGGAAAGUGGAAUUCCUAGUGUAGUGGUGAAAUACGUAGAUAUUAGGAGGAAUACCAGUAGCGAAGGCGACUUUCUGGACACAAACUGACGCUGAGGUACGAAAGCGUGGGGAGCAAACAGG
rnacentral:rRNA from 1 species